AGAGUUUGAUCCUGGCUCAGGAUGAACGCUAGCGAUAGGCUUAACACAUGCAAGUCGAGGGGCAGCAUGGUCUUAGCUUGCUAAGACUGAUGGCGACCGGCGCACGGGUGCGUAACGCGUAUGCAACUUGCCUCACAGAGGGGGAUAACCCGUCGAAAGACGGACUAAUACCGCGUACACUUAUCGGAGGGCAUCCUUUGGUAAGGAAAUGAAUUUCGCUGUGAGAUAGGCAUGCGUCCCAUUAGCUAGUUGGUGAGGUAACGGCUCACCAAGGCGACGAUGGGUAGGGGAACUGAGAGGUUGAACCCCCACACUGGUACUGAGACACGGACCAGACUCCUACGGGAGGCAGCAGUGAGGAAUAUUGGUCAAUGGGCGAGAGCCUGAACCAGCCAAGUCGCGUGAAGGAUGACUGUCUUAUGGAUUGUAAACUUCUUUUGUAGGGGAAUAAAGAACGGUACGUGUACUGUAGUGAAUGUACCCUACGAAUAAGCAUCGGCUAACUCCGUGCCAGCAGCCGCGGUAAUACGGAGGAUGCGAGCGUUAUCCGGAUUUAUUGGGUUUAAAGGGUGCGUAGGCGGCCUGUUAAGUCAGCGGUGAAAUCUAGGAGCUUAACUCCUAAAUUGCCAUUGAUACUGGCGGGCUUGAGUGUAGAUGAGGUAGGCGGAAUGCGUGGUGUAGCGGUGGAAUGCAUAGAUAUCACGCAGAACUCCAAUUGCGAAGGCAGCUUACUAAGGUACAACUGACGCUGAAGCACGAAAGCGUGGGUAUCAAACAGGAUUAGAUACCCUGGUAGUCCACGCAGUAAACGAUGAUAACUGGGCGUAUGCGAUAUACAGUAUGCUCCUAAGCGAAAGCGUUAAGUUAUCCACCUGGGGAGUACGCCGGCAACGGUGAAACUCAAAGGAAUUGACGGGGGCCCG
rnacentral:rRNA from 1 species